CAGGGACAGGACUGAGGGUCUGCACCUGGUGAUGGUGGCCUUCUUGCUGGUAGAGUCCUGAGGCAGCCAUGAGAGUUUCGCAGAGAAUAGAAUGCUCAAACCAGCUAACCAACCAGAUACCUGUUCUUCAAGCAUCCUUUCUACAUCCAUGCCUCCUUAUGGUCUCUAACCCUAAUAAUCAUAGCUUGAAAUAGACUCAGUCUCAAAAAGGCCCCCAAUGAGAAGACCAUCUUCAACAAGACACCAGAACUGUCACAAGCGUUCUCUCUAGCCUUCUUACUGAGGAGAGAAUUUCUUGAGGACAAGUACAUAAGAGUAACAGAUACCAGAGAGAAGAGUAUUACAUUUAAGUCUGCAUAGAGACAGCCUCUUGUGUUGUCCUGCACACAUUUCCCAGAAUCUUCAAAGAUGAUCAUAGCAACUUGUUCAUUGAGCAAAAAAUCAUACUGAGAAAGCCUCUUAGGUUUAUAUUUAUUAGUCCAUCUAAAGUUGCAAAUGAAGUGGAUGCCCAUUUGAAAGUUAAUGAACAUUUCGGGAGAUCCUAUGCUAGAACCAAGCUCCAUCAGGACUAGCUGAGAACACACGACCAGGAAGCUAACCAGAGAACAAAGUACUCAUAGCAGUGUUCUUAAUGUCAGCAAUAUUGGUUGAGCUAAAUAACUUAGGAAACUUUCUAAGAACUCAAUUAUGAUUUUAAAAAGAUGGAAACAUGAAUUAUUUGUAAGCUGCAAUCAACAAUGACAAUAGAGCAAACAAUGGCCCAACAAACAAAGCUGUUGACUUCAAUACCAGCAUGGGGCCUAAGAGGUGUUCUCUCAGGGACAGAAUCACAAGAAUGAGGAGGAGUUUAAGCAAGAAACUUGAAUGCUUUCAUUUAAAUGAAAGCUGGCAUGUCUAUAAAUAGAUGGACUAAUUAUUAGAUAGGAAUAAAUUUGAUAUGUGUCGGCAAAAAUAUGUUUUUUCUAACAGCGGAUCUAAGUACCGAUGGCUGUUCUACUUCUGAUCCAGCUCCCUACUAAUUCACCUUGGAAAGCAAUGGAGAUGACCCAAGUGCUUGGACACCUGCCACUCAAGUGAGAGGCCCAAUGCAGUUCUGGACUCCUGGUUUCAGCCUGGCCCUGUACCAACCUUUUUAACCAUUUGAGAAGUGAACCAGUGGAUGGAAGAUCUCUCCCUCUCUCUGUCUCUGUCUCUGUCUUUCUCUCUCUCACACACACACACACACAAAUUGCUUUUCAAAUAAGUAAAUUAUUCUUUUUUAAUGAAAUACCAACAUUUGCACUCUUGGGUUAACAUUAGCAUUCUUAAUUGUCAAUUUUCUAAAAACAAACACUUUAGUAAAAAUGCCUUAUUUAAAAAGUCCAUUGUUUCAAGGGAUGAAGGCUAUUGCAAUAGGAAAAACACAGUGACUUCAAGUUGUGGUUUCAAGGUCCUAUAGAAAAAUCCUUCUUCAACCAGGAGAGGGAAACAGUGCUAACAGGAUGUUUGAAGGAAAUGAAGCACGAGAAUGCAGCUGAGCAGAUGGCAUGACGGUAGCAUCUUACAGGAAAUGCUUUCUCCUUUUGGUCAUGUGAUUCUUAGAACAAGACGUUAAGAAGAGAUAUUCUUUAUAUUAUCACAUGCUUAAAAGCUUAGGUAUUGUGGUACAGCAGGUUAAGCCCUUGCUUACAACACUGAUAUUCCCUCUCAGAGGGCUGGUUCAAAUCCUCGCUGCUCUGUUUCUAACCCACCUCCCAACUAAUCCACCUGGGAAAGCAGUGGAAGAUGACUCAAAUACUUGGUCCCCUGCCACCCAUGUAGGAUACUGGACAGAAGUUCCUGGCUCCUAACUUCAGCACGGCCUGGGUCUGGCAUUUGUGGCCACUUGAGGACUGAACCAGAGGCCAGAUCUCUCCUUGUCUCUCUACCUUGCAGAUAAAUAAAUAAAUACUCAAAAACACAAAAUAAAUAAACAAAAGCUUAGAUAUAAGUAAAGUUUAGGGGUUUGUGGAUAUAGAACAAAUUUGGUUACAAUUUAGUCAAUUCAAGUCAAUGUCCAAGAAAGGAGCAAUUGUGAGCACCUGGAUUUAGUGUGAGCUCAUGUUUUCAAAUAAAUAAAUGGGAAAUAAAUGCAGGUAUGUGUGUAUGUGUGCAAGCAGCUGUGAAUACUUGCUGGCAUUGUCAGUGGAGUGGGGCUAGAAACCAGGACACCCUAGAGCUAGGAACAUGAGUAGCACUCGGAUAUCACUUCCUAAAAACUAAUCUCCAAUAAGAUUAGUAUGAGGACUAUUUGGGAAACAAAUGGCUGAAAUCAUGACAGGAGAAGAAAAAAUACAUGAGAAAUCUGGAAAAUAUAUGAGGCAGUAGAUGAGAAAAUGAUAAAAAAAAAUACUGGCUUGAUACUGACAAACCAGCUUGAAGGAGCUCCCAAUAAUAAAACCUGAGAGAACCUGGACCAAAAAAUUAAUGAAUUGUAUGCAUUGGAAUGAAAUAUCCAUGCAUGAGUUCGCACCAAUAGGAGUAAAUGAAUGAAUAAAAGAACAAACAGGGUAAAGCGGAAAGCUCUUCCAAAUAGUUAAAUUCCAGCAAUGAUAAUAUGGAUAUCAUCAUUAGGCAAACUUCACAGUGCUUGUUAAUAUGGAAAAAAACCAUCCAUACAUAAGUAAUAACAUUUGAGGGUAAAAUGUGCACGAUAAGGAACAGAAAUUUUCUAUAGUCUUGUUAGCUGACCUCCUGGCAAACUUAUUAUUAUUAUUAUUAUUACCUAAAGUGUAAAAUAAUGAGUUCACUGAGAAGAAACUCAGCAGAUAUUUGCCAAUCAAAUUUGGAGAAAAUAUCCAUUGUUUCUUCUGUCGGUUUGCCAAGCCAUCUAUAAAAUAAAAUCUCAUAAAGAUCCCUCUAUCCACAGUUGUUAUUUGUUUAU